rnacentral:rRNA from 1 species
CACGUAGGGCGCAAGCGUUGUCCGGAAUUAUUGGGCGUAAAAGAGCUCGUAGGUGGUUUUGUUACGUCUGCUGUGAAAACCUAGGGCUUAACCCUGGGCUUGCAGUUGGAUACGGGCAGACUAGAGGUAGGGUAGGGGAGAAUGGGAAUUCCUGGUGUAGCGGUGAAAUGCGCAGAUAGUCAGGAGGAACACCGGUGGCGAAGGCGGUUCUCUGGGCCUUACCUGACACUGAGGAGCGGAAAGCGUGGGGAGCGAACAGG